GACGAACGCUGGCGGCGUGCUUAAUACAUGCAAGUCGAACGGAAAGGCCAUGCUUUUGCGGGUUGCUCGAGUGGCGAACGGGGGAGUAACACGUGAGUAAACUGCACUUAUCUUUGGGGGAACUUCAGGAAACUGGGGCUAAUAUCGGAUAGGAGCUCCUGCUGCAUGGUGGGGGUUGGAAAGUGUCGGCGGUUGGGGAUGGACUGGCGGCUUAUCAGCUUGUUGGUGGGGUAGUUGCGUACCAAGGCUUUGACGGGUAGCCGGCCUGAGAGGGUGACCGGCCACAUUGGGACUGAGAUACGGACCAGACUCCUACGGGAGGCAGCAGUGGGGAAUAUUGCACAAUGGGCGGAAGCCUGAUGCAGCAACGCCGCGUGCGUGAUGACGGCCUUCGGGUUGUAAACCGCUUUCGCCUGUGACGAAGCGUGAGUGACGGUAAUGGGUCAAGAAGCACCGGCUAACUACGUG
rnacentral:rRNA from 1 species